rnacentral:rRNA from 1 species
CGGGAUUCCCUGAGUAAGGGCGACUGAAAAGGGAGCUAGCCCAGCGCAUAACCUCGCGGUUCGUGCAGAGCCGACGAGGGGUGUUGCGUAUCGGUGGAUCCGUCCCGCCCGUGCCCUACCGCCUAAGUCCAAGUAGGAAUACAGCCCCAAGGAGGGUGAGAGGCCCGUGUGGCGGCGCCCGCAAGGGCUACUAGGGCGCGAGCGGAGGGAUCGCUUCACCGGAGAGUCGGGUUGCUUAAUAAUGCAGCCCUAAGAGAGGUGGUAAACUCCAUCUAAGGCUAAAUACAACCACGAGUCCGAUAGGCGACAAGUACCGUGAGGGAAAGUUGAAAAGGACUUUGAAGAGAGAGUUCAACAGUACGUGAAGCCGUUAGAAGCUUAAACGGGUGGAACCGCGAAGGUCGAACGAGGGCACUCACCUCGUCGGGCGGGCGGGAACUGGGGAGCUCCGACAGGCCGGCGCCAAAAGUCCUUAAAAAGUUAGAGCGCAGGAGCACCCCGUCCUCGUCGUCCCGUUCCGGCGGGCGUACUUGUCCCUCUAGUAGGAAACGCCGCGAGCCGUGGUGGGGACCGGCAGGCCCAAACAGCCCGGAUUGGUACCCUCAGUCUGGAGGGGAAACCGUUUGGCUGGGAAAGACACACGGUGCCCCCGCCACGGCGUGGCCCAGGGCAGCUGGGUUCUCUCUCUUCGGGGAGAGGGCCAUCCGCUGCCUCGCGGCGGAGAGAGCAGUCGGUGAUCCACCCGACCCGUCUUGAAACACGGACCAAGGAGUCUAACAAGUGUGCGAGUCUAAGGGUCCGUCGAGACCCGGAGGCGCAAUGAAAGUGAGUGCGAAAUGCAGGCCGAUCCCCCGCUCUAAUUUGGCGGGGGCGCAGGCCGGGGACUUGCCACCAGGCGGCCGUCGACGGCCUCCCUCGCCCUUCACGGGGCGGGACGGGGCUCCGGCGGUCCGCCGGCAAGUACCUGGAGAGCACACGCGUUGGGACCCGAAAGAUGGUGAACUAUGCCUGGCCAGGACGAAGCCAGAGGAAACUCUGGUGGAGGUCCGAACCAGUUCUGACGUGCAAAUCGAUUGUCAGAGCUGGGUAUAGGGGCGAAAGACUAAUCGAACCA